rnacentral:rRNA from 1 species
GGUUAAGCGACUAAGCGUACACGGUGGAUGCCCUGGCAGUCAGAGGCGAUGAAGGACGUGCUAAUCUGCGAAAAGCGUCGGUAAGGUGAUAUGAACCGUUAUAACCGGCGAUGUCCGAAUGGGGAAACCCAGUGCAAUUCGUUGCACUAUCGUUAACUGAAUACAUAGGUUAACGAGGCGAACCGGGGGAACUGAAACAUCUAAGUACCCCGAGGAAAAGAAAUCAACCGAGAUUCCCCCAGUAGCGGCGAGCGAACGGGGAGCAGCCCAGAGUCUGAAUCAGCUUGUGUGUUAGUGGAACGGUCUGGAAAGUCCGACGGUACAGGGUGAUAGUCCCGUACACCAAAAUGCACAGGCUGUGAACUCGAAGAGUAGGGCGGGACACGUGGUAUCCUGUCUGAAUAUGGGGGGACCAUCCUCCAAGGCUAAAUACUCCUGACUGACCGAUAGUGAACCAGUACCGUGAGGGAAAGGCGAAAAGAACCCCGGCGAGGGGAGUGAAAAAGAACCUGAAACCGUGUACGUACAAGCAGUGGGAGCACCUUCGGGUGUGACUGCGUACCUUUUGUAUAAUGGGUCAGCGACUUAUAUUCUGUAGCAAGGUUAACCGUAUAGGGGAGCCGCAGGGAAACCGAGUCUUAACUGGGCGUUAAGUUGCAGGGUAUAGACCCGAAACCCGGUGAUCUAGCCAUGGGCAGGUUGAAGGUUGGGUAACACUAACUGGAGGACCGAACCGACUAAUGUUGAAAAAUUAGCGGAUGACUUGUGGCUGGGGGUGAAAGGCCAAUCAAACCGGGAGAUAGCUGGUUCUCCCCGAAAGCUAUUUAGGUAGCGCCUCGUGAAUUCAUCUUCGGGGGUAGAGCACUGUUUCGGCUAGGGGGUCAUCCCGACUUACCAACCCGAUGCAAACUACGAAUACCGAAGAAUGUUAUCACGGGAGACACACGGCGGGUGCUAACGUCCGUCGUGAAGAGGGAAACAACCCAGACCGCCAGCUAAGGUCCCAAAGUCAUGGUUAAGUGGGAAACGAUGUGGGAAGGCACAGACAGCCAGGAUGUUGGCUUAGAAGCAGCCAUCAUUUAAAGAAAGCGUAAUAGCUCACUGGUCGAGUCGGCCUGCGCGGAAGAUGUAACGGGGCUAAACCAUGCACCGAAGCUGCGGCAGCGACACUAUGUGUUGUUGGGUAGGGGAGCGUUCUGUAAGCCUGCGAAGGUGUGCUGUGAGGCAUGCUGGAGGUAUCAGAAGUGCGAAUGCUGACAUAAGUAACGAUAAAGCGGGUGAAAAGCCCGCUCGCCGGAAGACCAAGGGUUCCUGUCCAACGUUAAUCGGGGCAGGGUGAGUCGACCCCUAAGGCGAGGCCGAAAGGCGUAGUCGAUGGGAAACAGGUUAAUAUUCCUGUACUUGGUGUUACUGCGAAGGGGGGACGGAGAAGGCUAUGUUAGCCGGGCGACGGUUGUCCCGGUUUAAGCAUGUAGGCUGGUUAUCCAGGCAAAUCCGGAUAAUCAAGGCUGAGGUGUGAUGACGAGGCACUACGGUGCUGAAGUAACAAAUGCCCUGCUUCCAGGAAAAGCCUCUAAGCAUCAGGUAACAUCAAAUCGUACCCCAAACCGACACAGGUGGUCAGGUAGAGAAUACCAAGGCGCUUGAGAGAACUCGGGUGAAGGAACUAGGCAAAAUGGUGCCGUAACUUCGGGAGAAGGCACGCUGGUGUGUAGGUGAAGCCCCUGCGGGUGGAGCUGAGACCAGUCGAAGAUACCAGCUGGCUGCAACUGUUUAUUAAAAACACAGCACUGUGCAAACACGAAAGUGGACGUAUACGGUGUGACGCCUGCCCGGUGCCGGAAGGUUAAUUGAUGGGGUUAUCCGUAAGGAGAAGCUCUUGAUCGAAGCCCCGGUAAACGGCGGCCGUAACUAUAACGGUCCUAAGGUAGCGAAAUUCCUUGUCGGGUAAGUUCCGACCUGCACGAAUGGCGUAAUGAUGGCCAGGCUGUCUCCACCCGAGACUCAGUGAAAUUGAACUCGCUGUGAAGAUGCAGUGUACCCGCGGCAAGACGGAAAGACCCCGUGAACCUUUACUAUAGCUUGACACUGAACAUUGAGCCUUGAUGUGUAGGAUAGGUGGGAGGCUUUGAAGCGUGGACGCCAGUCUGCGUGGAGCCAACCUUGAAAUACCACCCUUUAAUGUUUGAUGUUCUAACGUUGGCCCCUGACCGGGGUUGCGGACAGUGUCUGGUGGGUAGUUUGACUGGGGCGGUCUCCUCCCAAAGCGUAACGGAGGAGCACGAAGGUUAGCUAAUCCUGGUCGGACAUCAGGAGGUUAGUGCAAUGGCAUAAGCUAGCUUGACUGCGAGCGUGACGGCGCGAGCAGGUGCGAAAGCAGGUCAUAGUGAUCCGGUGGUUCUGAAUGGAAGGGCCAUCGCUCAACGGAUAAAAGGUACUCCGGGGAUAACAGGCUGAUACCGCCCAAGAGUUCAUAUCGACGGCGGUGUUUGGCACCUCGAUGUCGGCUCAUCACAUCCUGGGGCUGAAGUAGGUCCCAAGGGUAUGGCUGUUCGCCAUUUAAAGUGGUACGCGAGCUGGGUUUAGAACGUCGUGAGACAGUUCGGUCCCUAUCUGCCGUGGGCGCUGGAGAAUUGAGGGGGGCUGCUCCUAGUACGAGAGGACCGGAGUGGACGCAUCACUGGUGUUCGGGUUGUCAUGCCAAUGGCACUGCCCGGUAGCUAAAUGCGGAAGAGAUAAGUGCUGAAAGCAUCUAAGCACGAAACUUGCCCCGAGAUGAGUUCUCCCUGAGACUUUAAGUCUCCUGAAGGAACGUUGAAGACGACGACGUUGAUAGGCCGGGUGUGUAAGCGCAGCGAUGCGUUGAGCUAACCGGUACUAAUGAACCGUGAGGCUUAACCUU